rnacentral:lncRNA from 1 species
GUCUCGCGAGAGUUUGCCCGUCUCGGACCUCGAGGGAGCAGGCCAAGACCACACCAGCGGAAGAUGACCUGGGAAGAACCAAAUCUUCGUUGGCAUUGUUCCGCAUUGAUCUAGGAAUUCCGCCACUCCCCAGUCAUCUGUUACAUCUGUUUCUCCCUGUGUACUGAAUAGAAGAGAUUGAACUCGGGACCUUGCACUUUUGAGGCAGGCGGCGGAACCACUGAGCUAAAUCCCAGGCCCUUCUCAGACUAAUUUUACAAGCCACAUAGUGUCUUUUUAAGAAGAAAAGUCAUAUCAGCAUGCUAUUUGUGAAGUUCUUCAAAUACCAAUGAAUUUGCAGUCCAAGGCCAUGUCCAUCUUAAUUUUGGUGAACAUUUGUCAUGUGCCUGCCCUGUGCAGGUCUUUAAAUGCACAAUAAUCUCAUGGUGUAGUUUCUGGAGAAGAACACUGGGGAUGGAAACCAGGGCUGUCACACUGAACUAUAGCCCCGGCCCUCAGCCUCACCUUUUUUUUUUUUUUUUUGAG